UCCAUUCUACCUGGGAUAUAGAAUAAUUAUGAGAGAGAUGAAGCAUAUAAAAAAUGUAAUAUGAUUGGUUUGAUGACGCUAUUUAAUAUUAAAAAAUUAAAUUAAAUUAAAAAUUUAUUAACUUCAGGUGAUUUAAUAAUAUAAUUUGAAAUAUUUUAUUAUUUUUAGUGUUUUUAAAUAAUUAAUAUAAAAUAAUAUAUAUAUUUUUUAUCCCAUAUUAUUUUAUUAUUUUAUAAUUUUUAUCAAAUAAAUAUUUUAAAUAUAUAUAAAAUAAUAUUCUAAUAUAAAAUAAUUCUUAUAAUAAUAUAAUAUGAUUCUUAAAAAGAAAAGGUAAGCACAAGAGGAAGAGGAACGUGUAACUCCCUAAAUAGAAAGAUACGCACAAAAGGAAGAGGAGAGAUAUAUCCACUUAGUAUUAUAAUAUGUAUUGACCUCCACCAUUAGUAUCUAAUCUUAUCAAUUCCAUAACAACUAAUCAUUUCAUUAAUAAUUUAUACUCGAUAAAAUUAAUAAUAUUAUCUUCUAUCCUAUAUUUCGUCUUUUCUUGUCCACGAUUGACCAAUAUAAAUUACUUCAAAUUAGCUAGACAAUAGCAAAUCUAAUAUACUUCUCAUCAACUUUUAGCUUAUUAUGUAUGUAUGCUUUAUUAUUAAUGAAACAUAAUUAUACAUAUAUAAAAUCACUUGAAUUAAUAAAUUAACAUAAAUAAUACAUAAUAUACAAAUAAUUAAUAUAUUUAUUUGCUUAUUUAUGAUAAGAAAUCACAUAUACUUACAAAUACUUGCAAAAUUUAUACAUUUAAAGGAAUUAAAAAAGAUAAAAUUAUAAAAAUAAUGGUAUCAAAAAUAUUGCUAAAUUAAUUAUUAUAAUGUUUCAAUCAAAUUUAGCAUUCAAAUUCACAUUUAAAAUUCUCAAUGUUCAAAAAUUUAACUAAUUAUUAGAUUUUAAUUUUCAUAUCUUUACGGAUUAGACUUUCAUUUUCUAGAAUUUAUAAGUAAAGCAUAGAGAGUAUUAGAAAAAAUGAAAUAAAAAUUCCUGGAUCUUGUGAGAAACCACCUUAUCAGAAAACCUUUUCUCACAAAAGAGGGGGGGAAAAAAGAAAAGACAAAAUUGAAGACCUCUUAUCUUACCCUUGGAGAAUAGCAAAUAAUAAAACUUCCAAAAUCAGCUUGGACAAUUUAGUACUUUGGGCAUAAUAGCUCACUGAUUGAGUGCUCUUGCGUCGAAGAUGAACGGGGCUAAGCGAUUUGCCGAAGUUGCGGUAUGUAAAAGCACAUCGAUAGGAGAGCGUUCCGCCUUAGUGAGAAGCCUUUGCGCGAGCAAUGCUGGACGAAGCUUAAGCGAGAAUGUCAGCUUGAGUAACGUAAACAUUGGUGAUAAUCCAAUGCCUCGAAAACCUAAGGGUUCCUCCACAAGGUUCGUUCACUGAGGGUGAGUUAGAGCCUAAGAUCAGGCCGAAAGGCAUAGACGAUGAAUAAUGGGUGAAUAUUCCUAUACUACUGUUUGUUGGUCCUGAGGGACGGAGGAGGCUAGAUUAGCCGAAAGAUGGUUGUCGAUUCAAGAACAUAAGGUGACCCUGCUUUUUCUAGGUAAGAAGGGGUAGAGAAAAUGCCUCAAGCCAAUAUUCGAUUACCAGGCGCUAUAGCGCUUAAGUAAUCCAUGUUAUACUCCCAGGAAAGCUUGAAGGACUGUAAGCAAAAAGCUACAUGUACUCGAAACUUAUACGAGAUUGGUAGGUAGAUAAUACCUAGGGGCAUGAGACAACUCUUUCUAAGGAACUUGGCAACAUGGCCCCGUAAUUUCGGAAGAAGGGGUGCCUCCUCACAAAAGGGGUCGCAGUGACUAGACCCAUGUGAAUGUUUACCAAAAAUAUAGAUCUCUGCAAAGUCGUAAGACCAUGUAUGGGGGUCAACGUCUGCGCAGUGCCAAAAGGUCAAGGAAGUUGUUGACUUGAUGACUGGGGAGUCGGCGACCGAAGUCCCAGUGAGUGGCAGCUAUAACUAUAACAAUCCUAAGGUAGAUUCCUUGUCGGGUAAGUUUCGACCCGUACGAAAGGCGUAACAAUCUAGGUACUAUCUCGAAAAGAGACUCAGUGAAAUAGACAUGUUUGUGAAGAUGAGGACUACUUGCACCUAGAUAGAAAAAACCUAUGAAGCUUCAUUGUUCAUGGGAUUGGCUUUAGGCCUUUCCUGUGCAGCUUAGGAGGAAGGCAAAGAAGGCCCCAUCUCGGAGGUUCCCCAGCCAUCAGUGAGAUACCAUUCUGGAAGAGUUAGAAUUUUAACCUUGUGUCAGGACCUAGGGGCCGAGGGACAGUCUCAGUUAGACAGUUUCUAUGGGGCAUAGACCUCCCAAAAGGUAACGGAGGCAUGCAAAGGUUUCCUCAAGUUGGACAGAGAUUGACCCUUGAGUGCAAAGGCAGAAGGGAGCUUGACUGCAAGACCCACCUGGCGAGCAGGGAUGAAAGUCGACCUUAGUGAUUCGACGGUGCCGAGUGGAAAGGCUGUCGCUCAACAGAUAAAACUUACUCUAGGGCUAACAGGUUGAUCUUCCCAAGAGCUCACAUCGAUAGGAAGGUUUGGCACCUCGAUGUCGACUCUUUGCUACCUGGGCCUAUAGUAUGUUUCAAGGGUUGGACUAUUUUGCCCAUUAAAGCUGCACGUAAGUUGGGUUCAUAACGUUUUGAGACAGUUCGAUUCAUAUCCAAUGUGGACAUGAGAGCAUUGAGAGGACCUUUCCCUAAUACGAAAAGACAAAAAUUGUUAGAGCGAAUUCAUUGUUAAGAUGAUUUCACACUUCAAACCAUUUAGAGAAUCUAAAAAAGUAUAUAAAUAAAAAUCAAUAAAAGAAUGUGAUUGUGAAAAUAAUUUUUUUUUGAAAAGGUUUUGGAACUAAAGAGGUUGCCAUGAGGAUUUGAGAGAGUGAACCUUUGAUGGCUCUAAGAGAGUGAAGUGUAGAUGGCAAAGUAACAUCAAAUAAUAAUAUAAUUU
rnacentral:rRNA from 1 species